AAAAGGUGUUGAUGAAUGACACUUGACAAGGUACCUAUACUUAUAGUGUCACCUUUCACCAUUUUUUUAGAUUUAAAAAGUGGUGAGAUUUUUUUAAAGUUAAUGAUAAUAUUUUUAUAGUGAUUUAGUUGGGGUUGUUACAUGCACUUGGUACUUCCGUUGCAAACUUUGACACUCCUUAAUGUCAUGUUUGGAUUUUCAAUAACUAUUCAUGUUUUUUGUUGAGAGGGUUAAAAUAAAAAUUUAGACCGCCUAAUGGUUAAGAAGCCUUAUGCCUAGGCCGGCCUUGUCUCCCUCAAUUAUGUGAUAACUUUAUUAUUAUUAUAAGAGAGCCAUUUAAUUAGUCGUAUUGUUCCCAAAAUUACAUUUGCUAUCACAGAUUUUUUGUUGUGUACUGCUGGGCCGCCACACUUUUGGAUAGUUGUUUUCAUCUUUGAGCCUUUCUUGGCCAAUCUUAAUGAAUUCUGUUAAAAAAUAUGCUUUUAAGGAUUUUUCAUACAGAAAUUAUCAAAAAUAAAAGAACAGGACAAAAAAGAGAAAAAAUGUUUCAUCAAGAACAUACGUAGGAAUUUUUCUACUUUGUAAUUAUGCAAUAAUUUCUUUUAAGAAAAUAAUUAUGUAGUAACUUAUUUAUUUAAUCAUUAUUGUCUUUUGUCAAUUAUUACUAUUAUCAUUUUUUUUAUUGAGUUUCACUUUUGAUUAGUCCAACUGUCCAAGACGAUGGUGGCUGAUGCAUAAUUGGUGGGUCAAAUGGUCAAUCCUCAAACUUACGUCAUACAAACGGUGACACAAAUGUGGUUUGAUUGUUAUUCCUGGCUGCAACUCACGACAGUGCUACCAGAAAAUCCACAAGCUCAUUUCUAGCAACAUAGUCUUAUUGGGGGAUCAAAGCAAACAACACAAGCUAGGUGCAUGUAUUUUUAGAGGAGGUAGUCUUGACAGAAACAAAACCGUGGAGGAGAUUUUGUUAAUGCUAGGUUGAUGGGGAGAUUUUUUGUAAAACACAUGCUAUACUAUUGAUGUGUUGGGUACAUAGAUAGGUGGGAAUUAACUGGUACGGGAAUAUAUAUAGUUUAGUGUUUUAUUUUGCGAUAGCAGAUUCUGUUGUAGAGGCAUACAUGUUUUUAUGCAGCAACAAACUUGUAAGGGAUGGUACCCCUUAUAUCCUGUACGCAUUCUCCUCUUUAACUAUAUAAUAUACAAAAAUACUAAACAGUACCUAUCUAUAAAUUCAAAUCCUUGACCUGAUAGUGAUCAAUUUAACACAAAGCACACAUUAGUUAGAUGGCUGAUAGUGAUCAAUUUUAUUAGCACCGAGUUUCCAGUAUUAAUUACCAAAUUCUUGUUAUUGACAAUAAAAACUGCAUUACAGGAUACGACGAUGACAAGUGGUGACAACAAUUGUAUCGAAGAUAUAUGAAGUAUUACUUUAUUCUCUC